rnacentral:snoRNA from 1 species
GAUCGAUGAUGAAAAAUAGCCAAAUCUGAGAGCUGUGGCCACAUCUGCCUCAGCCUUUGAUUAUGCUUGAGA